ensembl:lncRNA
UCUCCACUUCUCUUUCGCAGAUUGACACAUAGGUUGAAUUCAAAAGUGCAGGAAAAGAGCUUUGCCUGCGAAAGGAACCUGCACACCAGAGGGUUUGCUCUUAACUAUUGUGAGACCUCCGGCUACAACACAGGACAUGGGAGCUUUUCUGAACCCUCGUGUCUUGUGUUGCAGCCAGAGGGGCACAUCUUUUCAACAGAGUCUGCAAUAAGGAGAAGAAGCCAACGUGAAAGAGAUGUAAAGAGAAAGUGAGAGACAGGUACAGGCGUGGGACUUGACUGAACAUCUAAAGAAGCAGACUAAGGAAUGUGAUCCUUGGCAUUAGCCUUUGAAGCUUUCUCCUAGAUCCAGAUUUCUGCCUGGUCUUAAAUGCAGAUUAAAAAUUCUGAAUCAGUGUCAAGACACACAGAACAAAGCUCUGAUCAAGGAGUUAAGAACUGCAGGAACUAAACCUUGGGUCAUCAUAAGACAGUUUUUGAAGACUGCCUUACCAGACAAAUACUCUAUUUUUGUACUCCAUUUUGGAUUACUGUUUCCCAGAGGAGGAAAAAAUAAAAGGAAAUCCAGCGCAGAACAUCUUGAAGGACAAAGUGGGAAGGCAUCGUCUCCUUGGCACACACUGUUUGACUUUGCUGGCAGAAACUAGCUUUGCAACAUACAUGGAGAAGGCCUAUGCUCUUACAGGCUCUGAAAUUUCCAGGGGCUGCAUUUACUGAGAAAAAGAGAUGUGAUAAAGAGCCACCCUUGUCUUCAUUUACGCUCUGCUUAUGCUCUGAAAGUCCCAUGCAGUUCACUGAAAGAGUUUCUCCAUCUGCCUUCAAAACAUGGAACUUAGUGAUUGUCAGAGCUCCAUCUUGGCAGGGUCAUCAUUUUUUCCAGCUGCAGAAGUUGGGAACUCAACAAUUGUUUGCAGACCAGAAUAAAGCAAUGACAUAUUAUGGUAAUGUGAAUUGUAGAUUAUUAAAGGACAUGAUUUAAAACCACUCUGCUGGUUCCAGUGGGAUUUGUUUGUUUGGCCGCUUUUAGCAUUUUCACCAGCUCUCUCCAAGUUUUCCAUUUACGGUCUAAGUGGAGACAGCAGUAAAUUUUACCCACCUGAAUUUGUUCUUAAUGCUGUUUCUUAUUAUUUGCUGACUUCUAUAAAGGUGCCCCAGUAUCAAUCCCACUGACUGUUAAUAGCACCCAGUAUCUCCACCACUACAGAACUCCCAAGUGUAUUUUGCCUUAAUUAGCUGCUUUUUUUCCCCAUCUCUAUUCUGUUGCUCCCACCUAGCCUGUGUAUUAAUUAAUCAGAAUGACUUUUAGGCUAAACUAUGGGCUUUUAGGAGAACAUGUAGCUCUUAACACAGAAUACAUAUUCCAAGCCCUGAAGUGGGAGGGAGUCUCAAAUCAUUUGAGGGUUUGGCAGUCCCACACUGCUUGGCAAAUAUUUCCACUUACACUUCUUUCAGAAGAAUGACUCCAGCUCUGCUCCUGUUUUUUUGGUUUUGGUUUUUUUUUUUUUGCUUUACAAGAUUGUUUACAGGACUUCCUCAGCAUGUACUUCUCAGCUCCAGCUUGCUGGCACACCACCCUGAGCCACAUGGGUUUAUGCAGACCUCUCCUCCUGACCUUUCCAGUGAGCCAGGAGAGGCCUGCAUAAAUCCCUGUGGCACUUUACUGUGAAGUCAACCUCUCAAAAUUCAGGGGGGAGCUUUAGCUCUUCUAUAAAUAAGGAUAAUACUGGAAGGAAGCAGGCUAUAGUUUUUAUACCAGGAAACAUAAUAAAGGGAUCAAGGGGAGAAAACA